AGCAGCAGGCGCGCAAAUUACCCAAUCCCGACACGGGGAGGUAGUGACAAUAAAUAACGAUAUAGGGCUCUUUCGGGUCUUAUAAUUGGAAUGAGUACAAUUUAAAUCCCUUAACGAGGAACAAUUGGAGGGCAAGUCUGGUGCCAGCAGCCGCGGUAAUUCCAGCUCCAAUAGCGUAUAUUAAAGUUGUUGCAGUUAAAAAGCCCGUAGUUGAACUUCAGGCCUGGCCGGGCGGUCCGCCUCACGGUGUGUACUGUUUGGCCGGGUCUUACCUCUUGGUGAGCCGGCAUGCUCUUUACUGGGUGUGUCGGGGAACCAGGACUUUUACCUUGAGAAAAUUAGAGUGUUCAAAGCAGGCCUAUGCCCGAAUACAUUAGCAUGGAAUAAUAAAAUAGGACGUGCGGUUCUAUUUUGUUGGUUUCUAGAGUCGCCGUAAUGAUUAAUAGGGAUAGUUGGGGGCAUUAGUAUUCCGUUGCUAGAGGUGAAAUUCUUGGAUUUACGGAAGACUAACUACUGCGAAAGC
rnacentral:rRNA from 1 species